rnacentral:tRNA from 1 species
GGAGAGGUGGCCGAGAGGUCGAAGGCGGCAGACUCGAAAUCUGUUGAGUAGGUUAAACUGCUCCGUGGGUUCGAAUCCCACCCUCUCCG